UCCCUGAGACCUCAAUUGCGACUGCUUAAAGAUCGCGAAUUGUGAGCUCAGGAUAC
rnacentral:pre_miRNA from 1 species